UCCCUGAUGGCUCAGAUGGUAAAGAAUCUGCUUGCAAUGCAGGAGAUCUGGGUUCGACCCCUGGGUUGGGAA
rnacentral:tRNA from 1 species